rnacentral:lncRNA from 1 species
GAUUCAAAAAUUUAAGUAAGAAUAUCUAUUUAUAUCUAAGUAAUCUAAAAUGUUUUUAAUUUUAAAGCUAGCUUGGAGCAUUUAAAAACUAUAAUAUAUUUCAUAAUUAUAACUCGCAUUAAAAUUAAAAUAUCUACACAAUCUUAUGAUAUUCCUCGGAUAAUAUUCAUUCAAUUUAUAUUCAAUUAAUUUUUACAUAUUUUUGAAAUACCUACUUUAGUAGCAUUAUUGUAUAUUAUUUGUACUAAUGCAGCGGUCCGCAUGCUGCCCUUUAACAAAUUUAUCGAGGCCCGUAACAAAACGUUUAAAGCUCAAUUUUACAUUCUAAAAUCCAAAAUUCUACAUAUUCUACAUAAGAGUAAAUAAAACGGCCUUACGCUUUAUUAAGAUGAAACACGAGGUGACGUAGUAAGAGCACACGUGAUAGAUAACCAAAAUGUAUCAUAAUGACAUUACAGGUGAAUCGUUUAACAAUAUAUUGUACAAUCAUUUGUUUGUACUACCCACCCCCUCUAUUUAACUACAAUAAUGUGCAUUAUAACUGUUUGUUUAAUUAAUAUCAGAUUUUCUCAGAUGUUUAAUUUUUAACAAAAUAUUGUAUGUGGAAAACUUUUUAGUUAACAAAAUUAUAAUAAGAAACUGUCUGAAAGGCAGCAGUUUCAGUCAUAAUAUUAUUUUUUUAUAGGUACAGUCCCAGUAAAUUUCUAUUGGAAAUAAUAACAUGAUGUCGUUCAAACAUGAUUUAACAAUGAAUGCUUUAUUGAUGUUUGUUUUUUUCCAAGGAACAUGUACUCGUAAGUUGUAAAUAAAAUUAACAAAUUUCUUUAAAUGUUUAUGCAGUAUACAGAAAUAAAUGGUUAAAUUAUUGGAUAAAGUGCAGUAGUAAAAUUAUAUUCAUAUACUUAAUUAUCAAUUAUUUUUCACAUUUUUCAGUAAGACCAACAUGUGAAGGUAUGACUAAAUAAUUGUUAUAAUACCAAUAAUGUAAUAUUGACGUUCAGCAAAAAAUAUUUUUUCUUACAAAUAAUAAUUAUUAGUACAUAAUUAUUAGGCAGAGCCGUACUAUUUAAUAUUUUUAAUCCUGAGAGAAAGCUUUAGUAAUGCGUUCCCAUAUUCAUUUAAUCUAACAUAACCAGGGGUUUCCAGAGAGUGUGGAAUCUGGAAUGUGUUGGGGGGGGGAUUAACAAACUCCCAGUUUUUAAUAGUUUUUAUUAAGAGUCAGAAAAAUCUGAAAAAAGGUAAUUAGGUUUCGAAUAAAAUAAAAAAUUCAAUUUUCAGUCACAAAUAUAUUAUUCUUAUGUCCUCCAUUAUUUAUUUUUUUCGAGGUGGUUCUAAACAUAAUCUACAUUCUUAUUUCAUUUAUACCUAUCUGUAUUGAAAACUUAUUCAAUUGACCCAUGGCAAAAUUAACCUAGUGUAUUAUAUUCUUCAUAAAAUAAUUAAACGUUAUUUUUACAUACGUUAACUGUAGGGUCAGAUAUAAUUGAUAAAUGGGAAAAAUUAUUAUUAUAUUUAAUACUUAAUAUUGUUAAAUAUAAUUUUUUUUUCAUACCACCGGGGAUGGAAAUAAAUGUAAUGUGUAUAGUAAUAAGUGGUCCAUACGUUACCCUACAAUGUCGGAAAGAGUUAAGUAAUCAGCGGACAUGAUCACGGACACGAGAACGAUAGAAAAUUGCAUGAAUUGUGCGCUCCACGUGUAGUCUGUUGUUAAUCAUAAAAGACAAAUAUUCUAUUGAUACUUACAUUGAUUAUCCGUAGAAACAGUAUAAAUUAAUUAAUAAAGUGUAAUGGUUUUAAUAUUAUGAUUGGUAUCUAAGUUUCAAUUCAAAAAUCUUCUAAACAGUUUCUAUUUUAUGUACACAGCAAGUUUCACGCUAACUUUAUUGAAUAAUCAAAUAUCAAAUUAUAAAAAUCAAGAGACAUUUAGAAUGAUAACUAGACUAGAUUUACUUUCUUUAUCAAUUAUCUGUAAAUACUUCAUAUUAUAUAAGCUUCAUACCUUUACUAAUAUUAUAUAAAGUAAGGACUCAAUAAACAAGCAUUGCGAAAUUACUUAGCAAUUAUUUACUUGUAAAGUACUAAUUUGAAUAAGACAGAAAUCAUAAUUUAAAUCUUGUUUUGGUAUUUGUGUGGUUUUAUAAUUUACCAACAAUAAUACUAAUCAACCGAAAUUUAACUAAAAUUGUUUAAUAAUCUAUUCGCUUAAGUUUGUAAUGGUGUCCGAAUGCAGAGUUUUCUAUUAUAAAUCACUGUAAUCAAUAGAAUAACAAUUGUUGGUACAAUUAUACGAACCUCUGUUCGUAGGAUUAAUACACCAGUACCCCAGUACCGCCAUUAAAUAACCUAUUUUAUAAGAUUUAAAAUGGUGUAUAAAUGGCAAAUUCUUGAUUAUAAAUUAUUUCAAAUGUAAUAACAAUAGACUUUAGUGGGCCCGUUAUUUUAGUUUUCUCGUAAACGUUUAGUUUACACAUUUUGUGUUUUUGCUACUAAAUGUUUGAAUUGGUUUGGAAUCAAUUAGGUCAUUUGAGGGAAGGCUAAUUAUUUUACAUAUGCGUAUAUUUUACUAUUAAAACUGUUGAUAAUAUUUACUGAAAUUCCUAAUAUCAUUUCAAAUGAAUUUUGUAAAUUGUCCUUAUAGAAUAUAUGUACUUUAAACUGAGACGUAAGUAAAUAGUAAAAUAUUAUAUAAUAAAAUAAUUUUCAUAUUUGGAUUAUACAUUUUUAAUAAAUGAAUAAACAAUUAUUACAUAUAUAUAUAUAGCAUGGAUAAAAAAUAGAACAAUAAAACAAUUUUGGGAACAAGAAAUUAGGACCAUACCCACACGUAAGUUACAAAUUAUUAUUAAGUAUGAGUUAAAGUUACAGCGUUCUAUAUAUUAUUAUGCCACAUUACUCUAACAUUUUUUUUUAAAAAUAAACUUGGAUAAUGCUGCCAAUUAAUAGAGGAUAGAACUGAUAAUUUUGUCCACUAUUGAUUUUUCCAAUAUAAAAUACAAUUUUUCCUUUAGAAUUUCGUACAAAUUGAUUUCAAGAUAAUAAAUAAAGAUGUAUCGUUAAGAGGGCAUAACAUUUGCUCUGUCUAUUUAACAGGUAAUGUAGCAAAAAUGUCUUUUUGUCAGUGUCAUCAUUACACGCAUAGGACGCCAGGAUGCCUAUGUCCUAUGCAAAUAAAUCAUAAUAUUAAUUUUUUGUUUACGUAGUCGGUAGAUUUUAAAAUAAUUUAGGCAUCUUGGUAUUAAAUAAAACUGUUAAAAAAAUAUUAAAAGAUGUGAGGGCAGAUCACCACCUCGUCACGAGUAAUAUCUUACGUCGUUGUGUAAUACCUUCAAUGGGCUAAAACGUAAAUUAAACCUUUCAACACUAAAAUUCUGAAACUUCAUUUAUUUAUAGAAUUUUCAAUAUAGGUUGCUAUUAGGAAACCAAAAGUGUGCAUCCAAAAUUAACAAUGACAAAAAAAAAAAAACUUAAAUGUAAAUACGCUACGCAAGUGCAUUUUGAUGCUAUACAACUAAACUAUAAAAAACAAAAUAAAUAAAUAAGUACAAUAAUUGAGAUAAGAUAACAAAAAGCUCAAUUCAGCUUAGUUUCGGCCAUAUCUCCAAAAUCGAUGUAUUACUUAACAAUAUUAUACAUCAGCUGUUAUAUUUAAUACUAAUAUUAUAUUUAGCUACUAAUUUACUAUAUUUAUGUUGUAAUCAAGUUAGUGUUUUUUAAAUGAAUGCCUGUUAUGACGUAAAUAAAUAAAAUAAUAAUUAUAAUAAAAAUUAGGUAGCUAAUAAUUCAUUUUAACAAACAUCAAAUAAUUAAAAUGUUUAGCUAAUAUGGAAACUAUG